CUGUGUCUUGCUUCAACACUGUUUGGACAGAACAG
rfam:Callithrix jacchus chromosome 7, whole genome shotgun sequence